GGAAGUAGAAGUCGUAACAAGGUCUCCGUUGGUGAACCAGCGGAGGGAUCAUUACCGAGUUUACAACUCCCAAACCCCUGUGAACAUACCAUUUGUUGCCUCGGCGGUGCCUGCUUCGGCAGCCCGCCAGAGGACCCAAACCCUUGAUUUUAUACAGUAUCUUCUGAGUAAAUGAUUAAAUAAAUCAAAACUUUCAACAACGGAUCUCUUGGUUCUG
rnacentral:misc_RNA from 1 species